rnacentral:rRNA from 1 species
UUAAGCGACUAAGCGUACACGGUGGAUGCCCUGGCAGUCAGAGGCGAUGAAGGACGUGCUAAUCUGCGAUAAGCGUCGGUGAGGUGAUAUGAACCGUUAUAACCGGCGAUUUCCGAAUGGGGAAACCCAGUGUGUUUCGACACACUAUCAUUAACUGAAUCCAUAGGUUAAUGAGGCGAACCGGGGGAACUGAAACAUCUAAGUACCCCGAGGAAAAGAAAUCAACCGAGAUUCCCCCAGUAGCGGCGAGCGAACGGGGAGGAGCCCAGAGCCUGAAUCAGUGUGUGUGUUAGUGGAAGCGUCUGGAAAGGCGCGCGAUACAGGGUGACAGCCCCGUACACAAAAAUGCACAUACUGUGAGCUCGAUGAGUAGGGCGGGACACGUGGUAUCCUGUCUGAAUAUGGGGGGACCAUCCUCCAAGGCUAAAUACUCCUGACUGACCGAUAGUGAACCAGUACCGUGAGGGAAAGGCGAAAAGAACCCCGGCGAGGGGAGUGAAAAAGAACCUGAAACCGUGUACGUACAAGCAGUGGGAGCCUCUUAAUGGGGUGACUGCGUACCUUUUGUAUAAUGGGUCAGCGACUUAUAUUCUGUAGCAAGGUUAACCGAAUAGGGGAGCCGAAGGGAAACCGAGUCUUAACUGGGCGUUAAGUUGCAGGGUAUAGACCCGAAACCCGGUGAUCUAGCCAUGGGCAGGUUGAAGGUUGGGUAACACUAACUGGAGGACCGAACCGACUAAUGUUGAAAAAUUAGCGGAUGACUUGUGGCUGGGGGUGAAAGGCCAAUCAAACCGGGAGAUAGCUGGUUCUCCCCGAAAGCUAUUUAGGUAGCGCCUCGUGAAUUCAUCUCCGGGGGUAGAGCACUGUUUCGGCAAGGGGGUCAUCCCGACUUACCAACCCGAUGCAAACUGCGAAUACCGGAGAAUGUUAUCACGGGAGACACACGGCGGGUGCUAACGUCCGUCGUGAAGAGGGAAACAACCCAGACCGCCAGCUAAGGUCCCAAAGUCAUGGUUAAGUGGGAAACGAUGUGGGAAGGCCCAGACAGCCAGGAUGUUGGCUUAGAAGCAGCCAUCAUUUAAAGAAAGCGUAAUAGCUCACUGGUCGAGUCGGCCUGCGCGGAAGAUGUAACGGGGCUAAACCAUGCACCGAAGCUGCGGCAGCGACACUAUGUGUUGUUGGGUAGGGGAGCGUUCUGUAAGCCUGUGAAGGUGUACUGUGAGGUAUGCUGGAGGUAUCAGAAGUGCGAAUGCUGACAUAAGUAACGAUAAAGCGGGUGAAAAGCCCGCUCGCCGGAAGACCAAGGGUUCCUGUCCAACGUUAAUCGGGGCAGGGUGAGUCGACCCCUAAGGCGAGGCCGAAAGGCGUAGUCGAUGGGAAACAGGUUAAUAUUCCUGUACUUGGUGUUACUGCGAAGGGGGGACGGAGAAGGCUAUGUUGGCCGGGCGACGGUUGUCCCGGUUUAAGCGUGUAGGCUGGUUUUCCAGGCAAAUCCGGAAAAUCAAGGCUGAGGCGUGAUGACGAGGCACUACGGUGCUGAAGCGACAAAUGCCCUGCUUCCAGGAAAAGCCUCUAAGCAUCAGGUAACAUCAAAUCGUACCCCAAACCGACACAGGUGGUCAGGUAGAGAAUACCAAGGCGCUUGAGAGAACUCGGGUGAAGGAACUAGGCAAAAUGGUGCCGUAACUUCGGGAGAAGGCACGCUGAUAUGUAGGUGAAGCGACUUGCUCGUGGAGCUGAAAUCAGUCGAAGAUACCAGCUGGCUGCAACUGUUUAUUAAAAACACAGCACUGUGCAAACACGAAAGUGGACGUAUACGGUGUGACACCUGCCCGGUGCCGGAAGGUUAAUUGAUGGGGUUAGCGGUAACGCGAAGCUCUUGAUCGAAGCCCCGGUAAACGGCGGCCGUAACUAUAACGGUCCUAAGGUAGCGAAAUUCCUUGUCGGGUAAGUUCCGACCUGCACGAAUGGCGUAAUGAUGGCCAGGCUGUCUCCACCCGAGACUCAGUGAAAUUGAACUCGCUGUGAAGAUGCAGUGUACCCGCGGCAAGACGGAAAGACCCCGUGAACCUUUACUAUAGCUUGACACUGAACAUUGAGCCUUGAUGUGUAGGAUAGGUGGGAGGCUUUGAAGUGUGGACGCCAGUCUGCAUGGAGCCGACCUUGAAAUACCACCCUUUAAUGUUUGAUGUUCUAACGUGGGCCCCUUACCGGGGUUGCGGACAGUGUCUGGUGGGUAGUUUGACUGGGGCGGUCUCCUCCUAAAGAGUAACGGAGGAGCACGAAGGUUGGCUAAUCCUGGUCGGACAUCAGGAGGUUAGUGCAAUGGCAUAAGCCAGCUUGACUGCGAGCGUGACGGCGCGAGCAGGUGCGAAAGCAGGUCAUAGUGAUCCGGUGGUUCUGAAUGGAAGGGCCAUCGCUCAACGGAUAAAAGGUACUCCGGGGAUAACAGGCUGAUACCGCCCAAGAGUUCAUAUCGACGGCGGUGUUUGGCACCUCGAUGUCGGCUCAUCACAUCCUGGGGCUGAAGUAGGUCCCAAGGGUAUGGCUGUUCGCCAUUUAAAGUGGUACGCGAGCUGGGUUUAGAACGUCGUGAGACAGUUCGGUCCCUAUCUGCCGUGGGCGCUGGAGAACUGAGGGGGGCUGCUCCUAGUACGAGAGGACCGGAGUGGACGCAUCACUGGUGUUCGGGUUGUCAUGCCAAUGGCACUGCCCGGUAGCUAAAUGCGGAAGAGAUAAGUGCUGAAAGCAUCUAAGCACGAAACUUGCCCCGAGAUGAGUUCUCCCUGACUCCUUGAGAGUCCUGAAGGAACGUUGAAGACGACGACGUUGAUAGGCCGGGUGUGUAAGCGCAGCGAUGCGUUGAGCUAACCGGUACUAAUGAACCGUGAGGCUUAACCUU